UACGUAGGGUGCAAGCGUUGUCCGGAAUUAUUGGGCGUAAAGAGCUUGUAGGCGGUUUGUCGCGUCUGCUGUGAAAUUUCGGGGGCUCAACCCCCGAACUUGCAGUGGGGUACGGGCAGACUAGAGUGUGGUAGGGGAGACUGGAAUUCCUGGUGUAGCGGUGAAAUGCGCAGAUAUCAGGAGGAACACCGAUGGCGAAGGCAGGUCUCUGGGCCAUAACUGACGCUGAGAAGCGAAAGCAUGGGGAGCGAACAGG
rnacentral:rRNA from 1 species